GGACCCACUGUACCACCAUGCUAUCAGCAUCACUGACAAUUCAGAGUGCAGAGACACUCCCAUCAGCAGCUCUUCAUUUAAUCUGUGUGAGACUGUGGCUCAGUUUCUGUGCAACAAAAGAUGGAUGUCAUCAUCAUUAAACAAGUUCUCUUCACAUUGGCAGUCUUCUUGCCGUGGCAAUUAGGUCACGUUGAUGGGAGUGAUGUUACCCAGACCCCCAUACUGUGGAAAUAUCAGGGUGACAGUGCAACAAUGAGCUGCAACCAUACAAAGGGUGAUCUCUAUUUCCAGAUGUACUGGUACAGACAGCUGCCUGGAGAGACAAUGAAACUAAUUGUGUUCACAACAAGAGGCAAAAAAGAUGAUGAUCAAGACUUUGGAGAUUUCAGUAAAGAAAAAUUCUCAGUCACCAAGCCAACUGCUGAUAAAGGGACAUUCACAGUGAAGAACCUGCAGCCAAAUGACAAAGGAUUGUAUUUCUGUGCUGUGAGCCAACACAGUGAUACAGAUGAAGCAGAGAGCUGAACAAAAACCUCAGCUCAGUGUUCACAACUGUUACAUAAACUGUAGGGGGACCUCAAACACCACAAACACUCCCAAAUAUAAAUGGC